UGCUGCCUGCUUUGUCACUUUCAAAUGUCACUCCUCUCUCUUUAGAGGGAGGUAGCUACUAGCUAGGUAGCGUGUUGUGUUCCAGGCUAGAGGGUGGUAGCUAUUAGCUAGGUAGCGUAUUGUGUUCCAGGCUAGAGGGUGGUAGCUACUAGCUAGGUAGCGUGUUGUGUUCCAGGCUAGAGGGUGGUAGCUACUAGCUAGGUAGCGUGUUGUGUUCCAGGCUAGAGGGUGGUAGCUAUUAGCUAGGUAGCGUGUUGUGUUCCAGGCUAGAGGGAGGUAGCUACUAGCUAGGUAGCGUGUUGUGUUCCAGGCUAGAGGGUGGUAGCUACUGGCUACUGUUAGAUAUGUCAUGGAUAUAUGACGCUCACUCUCUCAGCUCACUGCAGGUUCUACAGGUUUACAUGCAGUGUGUCCUGCCAGUGCUUUCACACCACCAUCAACCAGGCUUUAAUGUAUCCAGAACGGUCACAGCGUCACACCAACUGCUAGGCUAAACUCCAUGAUCUCAACCUAUUGUUCACUCACACAUCCCCUCUUCAACACAGUGACCCCCCCCCCUCCU
rnacentral:lncRNA from 1 species